rnacentral:lncRNA from 1 species
CACAUACAGAUCUGGAGGGCUGGAGAGCAGCUGCAGUGCUGUGCUAGAGUGCAAGUAUGCUCUGAUUCUAGGUAGGGAACAGGAUAAAGAGGCAAAACCUUCUUCACUGAAGCCCGUGUCCCUCUCCUUCCCUUACCUAUAUUUUUAUGUUGUAUUUUCCAACCUGAGCUGGUUAAUGUGCUCAUCUUUUCUCCUGUGCUUUCCUUCUGGCAGAAGCUGAGGGAGCCUCCAACGUUUCAACAAGCACCAUGCCCACAACCGAGUACGAACCACCAUGUCUUAACGUGGACUUCUGCACACGAGCGGCCAUGUGCUGCCCAUCAGGCAUGGAUGAUUAUGGAUGGAUUGCAGCGGCCGUCGGCUGGAGCCUCUGGUUUCUCACUCUCAUCCUGCUCUGUGUGGAAAAGGUCAUGAAACUCCGGCCGGACGAACCCAAAUAUUUGGUAGCCUGAAGCAGGGCAAGCCAGUGAGCAGCAGUCAGGUGCAGACAGACUGACAAAGCAUUCCAACCAUUUCCUAAGGAACAGAAAAGAAAGGGACUGUACCUUCAGCUAUAAAAGGCCAGAUCUAAGCAGGCACCUGCUGAGGCUUCAUCCUCCCAAGCAAGUCUAAACCACCAGCUCAGGUGUGCAGUGGGCUCCAUCCAGUCCCUGCAAGCCACCAGGGACAUGCUACUACAUACGGAAAACCUUUUCCCCAAGCCCUUUCCAGCCUGCAAUAAGACACAGAAGGACACGUUACCAGGCUAUAGCUCCAUGCCUUCAGACAACCCAGUACAGAGCCUCUGAAUUUGAAAUAGAAGUGAGCUAACAAAGCUAGUCCUUGGAGGAGCAACGUUACCAGCUCCAGUCCUAAACUACGGGCCAGCCUACAUCAGUAAACAGAUGCAACUCAUUGAUUAUACUGAGUAACUUUCAUUUGCUAAACCACAGUGUUUACUGACAACAAGGAAAACUCUGUUAUGGAAAUUUAAGGCUUAUUUGGGCUGAUUUGAAAUUAGAACUCGUUAUUCCAGCGCAAUUUGUAUGUGAACUGUUUUGUGGGAGGUUAACAUUGGUUGCAUUUAUUCAGCUUGCACCUGCCUGUGUAAUUAAGCCACACUGCACCAUGGCAGGUGGGUUUAAGCCAGCAUAUCCAAGUCAAGCACAAAACUGCUCCUAUUUAUAUAACAUGAUAAUAAACACUCUUCUUGAUGGAAAGAUUCUCA